CCCACUCCAUCGAGUCACCCUUCCGAGCGGUGGCGGCGCUCACGGAAUACUUCCCCGCGCCGCCGCCUUGCUGGCGCCACUGUUCUUCCUCCUCGCCGCCGCGCUCUCCUUCCCCUCCACGCUCCGCCUCCUGCUCCUCCCCCCGCAGUCAUGCAGCCCCACAUCGCGGUCUGCCUCGUCGGCGGCGUCCGACGGUUCGAGCUCACGGGCCCCUCCUCCUCGUGCCGUCGCGGGGGGUCAACCUCGCCGCCGUGCGCUUGUUCCGAAUGGAGCGCAUCCAGGAGACGAUGGAGAGCAUGCAGGAGAGCGCGUAGGUGCUGACCACGCUCAACUCGCCCAACGGCAUCCAGAAUUAAGGCGUGAUGGCUGAAGAACCUCUGCUUCAAACUUGGACAUCCGUGGCUACCAGAAAAGCGAUGAUGUGUAAGGGCAUGUACAACGCGGCCUCUUCAGUCUAUGAUGUAAUGAUUAAUGCUCUUAUGGCGACAGUUGUUGCUAAAUUUAAGUUGUUUAGAAGCAUUUGCCACCAGAUGGGUCAAGAACCAUUUCAUUUGUGCAA